AAUCCAUAGGUUAAUGAGGCGAACCGGGGGAACUGAAACAUCUAAGUACCCCGAGGAAAAGAAAUCAACCGAGAUUCCCCCAGUAGCGGCGAGCGAACGGGGAGGAGCCCAGAGCCUGAAUCAGCAUGUGUGUUAGUGGAAGCGUCUGGAAAGGCGCGCGAUACAGGGUGACAGCCCCGUACACAAAAGCGCAUGUGCUGUGAGCUCGAUGAGUAGGGCGGGACACGUGGUAUCCUGUCUGAAUAUGGGGGGACCAUCCUCCAAGGCUAAAUACUCCUGACUGACCGAUAGUGAACCAGUACCGUGAGGGAAAGGCGAAAAGAACCCCGGCGAGGGGAGUGAAAAAGAACCUGAAACCGUGUACGUACAAGCAGUGGGAGCACCCUUUGGGUGUGACUGCGUACCUUUUGUAUAAUGGGUCAGCGACUUAUAUUCUGUAGCAAGGUUAACCGAAUAGGGGAGCCGGAGGGAAACCGAGUCUUAACCGGGCGUUAAGUUGCAGGGUAUAGACCCGAAACCCGGUGAUCUAGCCAUGGGCAGGUUGAAGGUUGGGUAACACUAACUGGAGGACCGAACCGACUAAUGUUGAAAAAUUAGCGGAUGACCUGUGGCUGGGGGUGAAAGGCCAAUCAAACCGGGAGAUAGCUGGUUCUCCCCGAAAGCUAUUUAGGUAGCGCCUCGUGAAUUCAUCUCCGGGGGUAGAGCACUGUUUCGGCUAGGGGGCCAUCCCGGCUUACCAACCCGAUGCAAACUGCGAAUACCGGAGAAUGUUAUCACGGGAGACACACGGCGGGUGCUAACGUCCGUCGUGAAGAGGGAAACAACCCAGACCGCCAGCUAAGGUCCCAAAGUCAUGGUUAAGUGGGAAACGAUGUGGGAAGGCCCAGACAGCCAGGAUGUUGGCUUAGAAGCAGCCAUCAUUUAAAGAAAGCGUAAUAGCUCACUGGUCGAGUCGGCCUGCGCGGAAGAUGUAACGGGGCUAAACCAUGCACCGAAGCUGCGGCAGCGACACUGUGUGUUGUUGGGUAGGGGAGCGUUCUGUAAGCCUGUGAAGGUGUG
rnacentral:rRNA from 2 species